rnacentral:rRNA from 1 species
GAUGAACGCUGGCGGCGUGCCUAAUACAUGCAAGUCGAGCGAACAGACGAGGAGCUUGCUCCUCUGACGUUAGCGGCGGACGGGUGAGUAACACGUGGAUAACCUACCUAUAAGACUGGGAUAACUUCGGGAAACCGGAGCUAAUACCGGAUAAUAUAUUGAACCGCAUGGUUCAAUAGUGAAAGACGGUUUUGCUGUCACUUAUAGAUGGAUCCGCGCCGCAUUAGCUAGUUGGUAAGGUAACGGCUUACCAAGGCAACGAUGCGUAGCCGACCUGAGAGGGGGCGGGGCCACACGAGAACUGAGACACGGCCCAGACCCCACGGGGAGGCAGAAGUAGGAAAUCUCCCAAAAGGGGCAAAGCCCGGACGGAGCAACGCCGCGGGAGGAAUGAAGGUUUUCGUAUCUAAAAACUCUUUUAUGAGGGAAAAAAAAUUGUGAAAGAAACUAUGCACGUCUGGACGUACCAUAACAAGAAGGCCACGCCAACCACGGUC